AUAGUACUUCCUCUGUUCAAAAUUACUUGUCGCAAAAAUAGAUGUAUCUAGAUGUAUUUUAGUUCUAGAUACAUCUAUUUUCGAGACAAGUAAUUCCGAACGGAGGGAGUAAGAG
rfam:Triticum aestivum genome assembly, contig: Triticum_aestivum_CS42_TGACv1_scaffold_513962_6BS